rnacentral:rRNA from 1 species
UACGGAGGAUGCAAGCGUUAUCCGGAUUCAUUGGGUUUAAAGGGUGCGCAGGCGGGGAUGUAAGUCAGUGGUGAAAAGCUGCCGCUUAACGGUAGUCUUGCCAAUGAUACUACAUUUCUUGAGUAUGGUUAAGGUAGGCGGAAUGUGCAGUGUAGCGGUGAAAUGCAUAGAGAUUGCACAGAAGGCCGAUUGCGGAGGCAGCUUACUGAGCCAUAACUGACGCUGAGGCACGAAAGCGUGGGGAUCGAACAGGAUUAGAUACCCUGGUAGUCCACGCCGUAAACGAUGUUCACUCGCUGUUUGCGAUAUACAGUAAGCGGCUAAGCGAAAGCAUUAAGUGAACCACCUGGGGAGUACGAUCGCAAGGUUGAA